GCCACAAGUCCGCAGGCUUUGCUGCGCUCCUGCUCUUGGCGUGUCCCUUCGCAGCUGUGCUAUGGCCCUGCUCCCAGAGCUCAGACUCCUGGGUCGAGCCGUCUAAGGUCACCUUUGAACGCCUUCUGAGGCACGUUUCCCCCUUGGAACAAGGUGGCGCAAAGUCUGUUGGAAAAACAGCAAGCUGAGGUCUGAAGUUGUUUCGGUGUUUAUUGAAUGCCUACUGGGUGCCAACACUGUUCCUGGCGCUAAGGACAGAUGAGAAAAAUGAGGCCCAGAAGAAGUAGUAGGAUAGGUCUUUUAACCCAGUUGAUGGGUUUCCAGAAUCCGGAACUUCACAGCAACCUUGAUCAUCCCUGUCCCCAACAUCAGAGUUUCCAAAGGGAUUGGACCUAGAGGUGCUUCACAACUGAGCCACAUCUCAAGCCCUAUUUUUAUUUUUUAUUUAGAGACAGAGUCUCACGAAGUUGCUUAGAGCUUUGAACCUGUGAUCCUCCUGCCUCAGCCUUCCAAGCCACUGAGAUUAUAGGUGUGCACCACUGUGCCUGGCAAAAUUAAAAAAAAAAAAAAAUUUAAUUAAAUAAAUCUUGAAG